rnacentral:rRNA from 1 species
UACGAAGGGGGCUAGCGUUGCUCGGAAUCACUGGGCGUAAAGGGUGCGUAGGCGGCGCGGUAAGUCGGGUGUGAAAUCUCGGAGCUUAACUCCGAAACUGCAUUCGAUACUGCCGUGCUUGAGGACUGGAGAGGAGACUGGAAUUUACGGUGUAGCGGUGAAAUGCGUAGAUAUCGUAAGGAAGACCAGUGGCGAAGGCGGGUCUCUGGACAGUUCCUGACGCUGAGGCACGAAGGUCAGGGGGGCAAACGGG